rnacentral:lncRNA from 1 species
CCCAUUCAGAAAGAAGUGAGCCUUUCUGUAGCAAAUCCAGUCCCAUGGCCCCUGAGCCCUUGGCCUGGAACUCUACAGCUCGGAGAACUGCAGGCUCCCUGGAGACCACCUGUCUUGGAGCUGAUGGUGGAUUUUCUUUCCGAUGAAAUCUCAGCCCUAAGGAUAUUUGUUUAAAGUGAUCAUCGGAGUUUUACAGCAGACGAAUGGUGUGUCCAGCGUGGAGGUUUACCGAGAGG